rnacentral:rRNA from 2 species
GGAUCCAGACUUUGAUUAUGGCUCAGGAUGAACGCUGGCGGCGUGCUUAACACAUGCAAGUCGAGCGAAGCGCUUUACUUGGAUUUCUUCGGAAUGACGAGUAUUGUGACUGAGCGGCGGACGGGUGAGUAACGCGUGGGUAACCUGCCUCAUACAGGGGGAUAACAGUUAGAAAUGACUGCUAAUACCGCAUAAGACCACAGCACCGCAUGGUGCAGGGGUAAAAACUCCGGUGGUAUGAGAUGGACCCGCGUCUGAUUAGCUGGUUGGUGGGGUAACGGCCUACCAAGGCGACGAUCAGUAGCCGGCCUGAGAGGGCGACCGGCCACAUUGGGACUGAGACACGGCCCAAACUCCUACGGGAGGCAGCAGUGGGGAAUAUUGCACAAUGGGGGAAACCCUGAUGCAGCGACGCCGCGUGAAGGAAGAAGUAUUUCGGUAUGUAAACUUCUAUCAGCAGGGAAGAAAAUGACGGUACCUGACUAAGAAGCCCCGGCUAACUACGUGCCAGCAGCCGCGGUAAUACGUAGGGGGCAAGCGUUAUCCGGAUUUACUGGGUGUAAAGGGAGCGUAGACGGAGAGGCAAGUCUGAUGUGAAAACCCGGGGCUCAACCCCGGGACUGCAUAGGAAACUGUUUUUCUAGAGUGUCGGAGAGGUAAGCGGAAUUCCUAGUGUAGCGGUGAAAUGCGUAGAUAUUAGGAGGAACACCAGUGGCGAAGGCGGCUUACUGGACGAUGACUGACGUUGAGGCUCGAAAGCGUGGGGAGCAAACAGGAUUAGAUACCCUGGUAGUCCACGCCGUAAACGAUGACUACUAGGUGUCGGGUGGCAAAGCCAUUCGGUGCCGCAGCUAACGCAAUAAGUAGUCCACCUGGGGAGUACGUUCGCAAGAAUGCAACUCAAAUGAAUUGACGG